rnacentral:rRNA from 1 species
GGAAAAGAAACCAACAGGGAUUGCCUCAGUAACGGCGAGUGAAGCGGCAACAGCUCAAAUUUGAAAUCUGGCGCAAGCCCGAGUUGUAAUUUGCAGAGGAUGUUUCGGGUGAAGCCGCGGUCCAAGUCCCUUGGAACAGGACGUCAUAGAGGGUGAGAACCCCGUACCUGGCCGCCGGUGCCCCCCGCUGUGAAACUCCUUCGACGAGUCGAGUUGUUUGGGAAUGCAGCUCUAAAUUGGUGGUAAAUUCCAUCUAAAGCUAAAUACCGGCCAGAGACCGAUAGCGCACAAGUAGAGUGAUCGAAAGAUGAAAAGCACUUUGAAAAGAGAGUUAAAAAGUACGUGAAAUUGUUGAAAGGGAAGCGCUUGCGGCCAGACUUGCCCGCGGUGGCUCAGCCCGCCCUUUGGCGGGUGUACUCCUCCGCGGUCAGGCCAGCAUCGGUUUGGGCGGCCGGACAAAGGCGCCGGGAACGUAGCCUCCCCUCGGGGAGGUGUUAUAGCCCGGCGCGCAAUGCGGCCAGCCCGGACCGAGGUUCGCGCUCUGCUAGGAUGCUGGCGUAAUGGCCGUAAGCGGCCCGUCUUGAAACACGGACCAAGGAGUCUAACAUCUAUGCGAGUGUUUGGGUGUCAAACCCGUGCGCGUAAUGAAAGUGAACGGAGGUGGGAACCGCAAGGUGCACCAUCGACCGAUCCUGAUGUCUUCGGAAGGAUUUGAGUAAGAGCAUAGCUGUUGGGACCCGAAAGAUGGUGAACUAUGCGUGAAUAGGGUGAAGCCAGAGGAAACUCUGGUGGAGGCUCGCAGCGGUUCUGACGUGCAAAUCGAUCGUCAAAUUUGCGUAUAGGGGCGAAAGACUAAUCGAACC